rnacentral:rRNA from 1 species
UGGGGGAUAUUGCACAAUGGGGGAAACCCUGAUGCAGCGAUGCCGCGUGAAUGAAGACGGCCUUCGGGUUGUAAAGUUCUGUCGCAGGGGACGAAAAUGACGGUACCCUGCAAGAAAGCUCCGGCUAACUACGUGCCAGCAGCCGCGGUAAUACGUAGGGAGCAAGCGUUGUCCGGAAUUACUGGGUGUAAAGGGAGCGUAGGCGGGAGGAUAAGUUGAAUGUGAAAUCUAUGGGCUCAACCCAUAGCUGCGUUCAAAACUGUUCUUCUUGAGUGAAGUAGAGGCAGGCGGAAUUCCUAGUGUAGCGGUGAAAUGCGUAGAUAUUAGGAGGAACACCAGUGGCGAAGGCGGCCUGCUGGGCUUUUACUGACGCUGAGGCUCGAAAGCGUGGGUAGCAAAC